rnacentral:rRNA from 1 species
CCGCCGCGGUAAGACGUAGGACGCGAGCGUUAUCCGGAUUUACUGGGCGUAAAGCGCCUGCAGGCGGUCAGGUAAGUCGGUUGUGAAAGCCCCGUGCUCAACGCGGGGAGGCCAAGCGAUACUGCGUGACUUGAGGGCGGAAGAGGGGAGUGGAAUUCCCGGUGUAGCGGUAAAAUGCGCAGAUAUCGGGAGGAACACCAGUGGCGAAGGCGGCUCCCUGGACCGCACCUGACGCUCAGAGGCGAAAGCUAGGGGAGCGAACAGGAUUAGAGACCCUGGUAGUCCUAGCCCUAAACGCUGGAUGCUAGGUGUAGGGCUGAUGAGGCUCUGUGCCGGAGCGAACGCGAUAAGCAUCCCGCCUGGGAACUACGGCCGCAAGGCUAAAACUCAAACGAAUUGACGGGGACCCGCACAAGCAGCGGAGCGUGUGGUUUAAUUCGAUGCUACACGAAGAACCUUACCUGGGUUUGACAUGCUGGUGGUACCGAACCGAAAGGGGAGGGACCCUUCGGGGAGCCAACACAGGUGCUGCAUGGCUGUCGUCAGCUCGUGCCGUGAGGUGUCGGGUUAAGUCCCGUAACGAGCGCAACCCUUGCUCUUAGUUAUACGUGUCUAAGGGGACUGCCGGCGACAAGCCGGAGGAAGGUGGGGAUGACGUCAAGUCAGCAUGGCCUUGAUAUCCAGGGCUACACACACGCUACAAUGGCCGGUACAAAGGGCAGCCAAGCCGCGAGGUGGAGCGAAUCCCAGCAAAGCCGGUCCCAGUUCGGAUUGCAGGCUGCAACCCGCCUGCAUGAAGUUGGAGUUGCUAGUAACCGCGCGUCAGCCAUAGUGCGGUGAAUACGUACCCGGGUCUUGCA